AAAUCGAGCGUGUCUUCAUUGACCGCUCACCCUUCUCACCAUCCACAUACACCUGUGCACUGUUUAGCCUGAGCCGGUUUUCCGGUCCAGGUUAUCAUUUCAUACAAACUCUAGUCUUAUGAAUGUAAACGUUUUAAUAACAUAAUAAAACUUUCAACAACGGAUCUCUUGGUUCUCGCAUCGAUAAAA
rnacentral:misc_RNA from 1 species